GAUGAACGCUGGCGGCGUGCCUAAUACAUGCAAGUAGAACGCUGAAGCUUGGUGCUUGCACCGAGCGGAUGAGUUGCGAACGGGUGAGUAACGCGUAGGUAACCUGCCUCUUAGCGGGGGAUAACUAUUGGAAACGAUAGCUAAUACCGCAUAAAAGUCGACAUCGCAUGAUGUUGACUUGAAAGGUGCAAUUGCAUCACUAAGAGAUGGACCUGCGUUGUAUUAGCUAGUUGGUGAGGUAACGGCUCACCAAGGCGACGAUACAUAGCCGACCUGAGAGGGUGAUCGGCCACACUGGGACUGAGACACGGCCCAGACUCCUACGGGAGGCAGCAGUAGGGAAUCUUCGGCAAUAGGGGCAACCCUGACCGAGCAACGCCGCGUGAGUGAAGAAGGUUUUCGGAUCGUAAAGCUCUGUUGUAAGAGAAGAACGAGUGUGAGAGUGGAAAGUUCACACUGUGACGGUAACUUACCAGAAAGGGACGGCUAACUACGUG
rnacentral:rRNA from 1 species